rnacentral:tRNA from 1 species
GUCUCGGUGGUCUAAAGGCUUAGGACGCUCGCACGGAAUGCAAGAGAUCCGGGUUCGACUCCCGGCCAAGGCA